rnacentral:lncRNA from 1 species
UAACAAAGGAAAAUGAGGCCAUCUGUAGGAAUGCCGUCUCCUCCCUGUGUGCUAUCACAGCUCAGCUUCCCUCUGCUGCUCAUGCACUGGAGGUCUGCUUUACAGUUGGGAUGACUUCUGUCAUGAUCUUGUUAGCUGAAGUUGAAAAAAGAAAUCGGAUUGGGUUACUGUAUGAAUGAGACACAGCCUGUGAACUGCAGAGUGCUGUGUAAAGCUGGGGUUGGUGAGUCCUUAGGGAACUGAUGGCACUUUAGGAUACAAAGAGACACUAGUGCUAUCAUCACAGAAAUUGAAAACAAUAAAAUCUAAGUGCUUCUGGCUGUUAAAGGUCUCAGAGGCAGUGAUUCUUGGAGUUUUGGCGCCAUUUAGACCCUUGUGCUAAAAAAGUAUUAUAAGGUAGUAUUAUUAGUAUUAUAUAGGUAGCAUUAUUAGUAUUAUACGGUAGUAUUAUAAGGUAGUAUUAUAAGGAUAUUGCAAAAGAUUGUGGAUAUUUCUGCCUCAAACAGCAAGGUAAGAGCAACAUGGCUGAAAUAAGCAGUUGUGAAGUACAUGUGUCAGGAGCCACUGAGGUUGUCUGAUUAGGUAGCUAAUUAUCUCUGUAUCUCUGUUUAUAUUACACUGCUCUUGCUGAUGCUAGCAUAACCCUCACCUAUUUCAGGUAUCUGGCUCAGGCAAUGAAAGGUGAUUUAUUACUAACUGAGUUUUGUAUAAAUCCUUCAUUGCUGUUACCCCCACUGAGUGUGUAGAGGCUCCAGGUUAUUUUGAUCCCUUUCAAACUAGUCUGAAGAUUGAAAAUCAUUGUGGAAAUGGCCUAGUUUGCACUAAUUUACAGUUUUCUUCAGGUGGGAAAAGAAGAUCAAAGACAUACAUUUGGAUGGCUUUUUUGGCACUUGUCUUUGACUGGUUUGUGCUUUGGAGGGGCAUCGCCAGUCAUGCACACUUGGAAAUAACUCCCAGGCAAAGCCAAAACCCGCACCGUGGUGAUGUGAAAGAGAGGAGGUGAUCAUCUCAGUCACUUUAAACUGCUCAUUAAUGCAAACAAGCACUACCUCAGCCUGCUUAGCCUAACCCUUCUGGGAGGUAAAUCCAUCUUCCUCUGCUUACGUGAGCCCUUUCAGGGACAAAUGGCCCCUUUGUGCAACCUCGCUGUUCCAGGGGCUUGUCAACUUCUUUACCUUGGGUAGCGUCUUGCUCCGUAUUUACUUCCAUUCACCUCAGUGGGAUUACUUGGAAAGCAACCAGUGCUGAUAUAGACAUUUUAAUCUAGCCAAAACAAGAGAGUGCUGUGGAAGUCGACAGUGUGGAGAGGAAAUAUUAAUGUUAGCAGUGUUUAUUAGUUUUUUUUCCUUAAAAUUAGUACAUAUUUCUUUAACAGAUAGAAAACAUUUCAUAUCUUGUCACCCACAUUUACUUCUUUAAAGCAAUUACAGUAUUGUUUAGACAGGUAUUUGCUUGUUUUCACUGAUAAUGUUAACUUGCCAGACAAGCAGAAAGUCAGAUAUUUACAUUUUGCCAGGGGCCAUUCAUUUAGAUCUUCUGCCAGUCAUGCAGAAAUAAGCUGCUAGGCAUUUAAGCAAGGGAAUGCAAAAGAAAACUCAAGCACUCAAAGCAGUGCUCUUCUGCUUCAGAGUCUGGAUUCACUGAAUGCAAUGAAAGGAUUUCAAAGCAGCAUCCCAUGAAGGAACAGAAAUAAACAACAGUGCUUA